rnacentral:rRNA from 1 species
ACGAACGCUGGCGGCAGGCUUAACACAUGCAAGUCGAACGGGUGUCGCAAGACAUCAGUGGCAGACGGGUGAGUAACACGUGGGAACCUUCCUAGGGGUACGGAACAACUCAGGGAAACUUGAGCUAAUACCGUAUACGUCCGUAAGGAGAAAGAUUUAUCGCCCUUAGACGGGCCCGCGUCGGAUUAGCUAGUUGGUGGGGUAACGGCCUACCAAGGCGACGAUCCGUAGCUGAUCUGAGAGGAUGAUCAGCCACACUGGGACUGAGACACGGCCCAGACUCCUACGGGAGGCAGCAGUGGGGAAUCUUGGACAAUGGGCGCAAGCCUGAUCCAGCCAUGCCGCGUGAGUGAAGAAGGCCUUAGGGUUGUAAAGCUCUUUUACCAGGGACGAUAAUGACGGUACCUGGAGAAUAAGCCCCGGCAAACUUCGU